rnacentral:rRNA from 1 species
ACACGACUCUCAACAACGGAUCUCUUGGUUCUGGCAUCGAUGAAGAACGUAGCGAAAUGCGAUAAGUGGUGUGAAUUGCAGAAUCCCGCGAACCAUCGAGUCUUUGAACGCAAGUUGCGCCCGAGGCCCUCGGGACGAGGGCACACCUGCCUGGGCGUCACGC